CAAAAAGACUGAUGGCCUGCUCAACCCGAAUGGACCCACCCGACAAAAGUCGGUUUCAUCGGUUCAAAAUUAAAUUGUGGGUUUUAAUAUCGGAUCCGAAUAUCUUUCAGUCGAAACCGUGAAACCGAUGCACGGCGUCCACUAGUCCUUCCCCUCUUCAACCCACCACUGGAAACUACUCUUCUUGGAGACUUAAGUUCAUCGCUUGGGAAAACCAUCGGAGAAACCGGUUUUCGACCCACCCAAAUUUCUUGCCACCACCCAAACGUCGUCGAAGUCCAUCUCGUCGGAGUUUGCAAUGAAGCACGUGGGGUUCAUUUGCAGAACAUAAGAAACCUUAACUGGGUACGAGAAUUCUUGUAGCCGACCGUCUUGUAAGAUGAGCUUGGCCGCGGCGACGUUCGUUGAACACGAAGAACUGUAAAUACCCAUUUGUGUUGUGCCAACCGGAUCCGAUUCCAAAGAGUCAGAAAAAAGACCAAUAUUGAACUAGACGAUCGAAGCGGACGAUGAAUGGAGAUCGAGGAUUUAUUUUGGGAAAGGAGAAAUUAUGGUAAAGAUUAAAGGGAGUGUUGGCCAGAUUUGCUUUGUGAUCUAAAGCUUAUGACUGCUUGCUUCCAGAUCUGCACAUUGAGCUCACGAUGAUACUUCUUCAGAUCUGAGUUGUUGGACUUCUUCCUGGUAAUCGAAGAUGACUUCGCACAGGGGUGGUGAUAGAGACGAGCGGCUCAAGGGGUAGGCAACUAGAGAUUAGCGGCUAAGCUGUCAAUCAUGGACCUCAAAUUACCAACGUCUACGAGCUUGAGAUUUUUUCGCCACUGAUUUCGCCACUGCUUUGUGAAGUUUUGCUCUUUUUUUUUUUGAAAUUUUUUCUUGAGAUUGGGAAGAAUCUGAGAUUGAAAUUUGUCCUCAGAUCUGCGAAUGAAAUUUGUAAUCAAAUCUGAGCUAAAUCCACAUGUGCAGAAGGAGACUUUUUUUUUUUCUUUUUUGGGGGUAAA